rnacentral:tRNA from 1 species
GCCGAGAUAGCUCAGUUGGUAGAGCAGAGGACUGAAAAUCCUCGUGUCGGUGGUUCGAUUCCACUUCUCGGCACCA